GGGGGAGGGACUGAGCCUGCUCUACAAGUGGGGAUGGAUGUUUGUGUAUUUACUAAAUAGAUGGCUCCACAAUAACCUGCAUCUCUGUGCACACACCUGGGUGGGUAAGGUAUCUAAUACGCCCAGCCCGGGAAGCCAGACUUUUCUUUUGAUGGAGGGGAGGAAAAAAAAACCAAACCAGAAGAGCACAGUGAAUAUUUAAAACUUUGGGGAUUUUUUAUUAUGGCAGAAUAUAAUGGGAUUUUCCCCAUCAUCAGAAGAUAAUUUUUGACCAGAAAGAGGACAAGUAAGGGGCUGGCUCUGACAGGAAUAGACUAGCUGCAUACCUCGUCAUCCUGUGGGUGGACCACUCUGCUGCAGAAAACAUGUUACUGGGCUGUGAUAUGAUCUGUGGGAGAUGGAUGAUGUGGACAAAAGCUGGCUGCCAAGGAGCAGGAGAAAAGUAGUAGCCACAAUGCCUGUUGGAGUCAGCAAGAGAAGAUAAUAAAUCCUUUUGCUCUUUUAGUCUGUUGGUAUCUAACUCCAAAAUUCAAUAGACUAAGUGCAAGUGUGGCAGAAACUCUUACCAGUCUACUCUUC